rnacentral:rRNA from 1 species
GACGAACGCUGGCGGCGUGCCUAAUACAUGCAAGUAGAACGCUGAAGGAGGAGCUUGCUUCUCUGGAUGAGUUGCGAACGGGUGAGUAACGCGUAGGUAACCUGCCUGGUAGCGGGGGAUAACUAUUGGAAACGAUAGCUAAUACCGCAUAAGAGUAGAUGUCGCAUGACAUUUGCUUAAAAGGUGCAAUUGCAUCACUACCAGAUGGACCUGCGUUGUAUUAGCUAGUUGGUGAGGUAACGGCUCACCAAGGCAACGAUACAUAGCCGACCUGAGAGGGGGAUCGGCCACACUGGGACUGAGACACGGCCCAGACUCCUACGGGAGGCAGCAGUAGGGAAUCUUCGGCAAUGGACGGAAGUCUGACCGAGCAACGCCGCGUGAGUGAAGAAGGUUUUCGGAUCGUAAAGCUCUGUUGUAAGAGAAGAACGAGUGUGAGAGUGGGAAGUUCACACUGUGACGGUAUCUUACCAGAAAGGGACGGCUAACUACGUG